ACGCAGUUUGAAAGCUUUAAAUUAUAAUUUGGUAAAUUUAACCCAAUUGUUAUUCUUCCAACCCUAGUAUUCUGUUCUUUUAUCUUUCUAUUAAUUCCACUGCUGAGGCGCUAGAAGCUGCCGCCGGUAAUCUGGGUCUUUACUAAAUCUGUAACAUCUCACUGAGUAUUCGGUACAUCUCUGUAACUCUUUCUAUAUUUCAGUUGCUGCAAUCUGAAAGGUUAGGCAUGUCUCUCAGUCACCAGGUUUACUUCUUGGGGAGGAAUAAUCUAAAUGGCAUGAGUAGAGUCAGGAGAGAGUUCUGGAGGCUCAUGGUGGGGGUUUUACGAGGAAAGUCUGUGACUUAUCACAAUUAUCAAGACCUACGAGUCAAGAUAGCGCAUUGUUUCAGUCGCUAAAGCUAAAGUAUACCGAGAUAGCUUUAAGCACUAACAUAUCUCUGUUGAAUCAAGCUUCAUAUUCUGAUUGUAUCAGACUGAUACAAACUUCAUACAUACUGCUGUAAAAUAUGAGCUUCUUGAUGUUUACUUUCCAAAACUGAAGUCGGAGUUUAUUUUGCUUUUAUAACUACAAUCCUUUGAACUCUUGAAAUCUUAGCUCGAUCCCAAGGCUUGGUGAACUGCGGCGGUUGACUUUUUCAGCUUAGAUUGACUUUUUCAGCUGGGAUUGCUUAUGGUUGACCUAAGUUGAGGGCAUAUUUAAUUUCUAUUGAUAGAGAGCCGAACUAUACUUAUUUCCCUAAUAGACUUGCAAUCAAAUUGUAUUUUAUUUGUAAUUGCAACAACUGGAUCUUUUGGUUUGGAAAGUGCUUCGUAGCUCAAAUUUAUGUUUGUUUCUUAGCCAUCUAGUGAGUUACUUAGAUUUUUGUGUCUUUUUCUUCAAACACUUGUGUUCUCUCUUUCUCAAUACUUGAAAGAAUCAAGAUCUGCUCAUGGUUCUGUAUAUAUAUAUCUUUUGUUUAGGCUCCAUUUGUUUCAAUGUAAAAUAUUUUUCGUUGUUUUGUUGCAUAUAAAAGUAUUAAAAUUAUUUUUUUGAGUAAAAUGUUUUUUGCCAUACAUCCUAAAAUGACUCGUAGUCUUCACUGUUUGGGAUUCCUUAUUCAUUUUCAACAAUUUUCAUGUUUAUUUUAUUUAUUUUUUUUUUUUUUUGGCACAAGCAAACUAGUAUUUGAGGUGAUUAGGUUUUGAUCAUGAUAUCAGAACUGUUUGUUUGAUCUAUUAUGUCCAGUUCAAAGUUAAUUUCAUUGACAUUUUGGUUUGAUUUGAUUUGAAGAAUAAUUUAUUUAUCUUCAAAAUUCUUUUAAGCCUCUUUUAACCCAAGUUUUUUCUACUGGAAAUUGGGAUUACAUCUUAUAAUUCCGUGUCCAGACUUUUUGAGAAAAUUUCUAACGGAUGUAUUUUGAUUUACUUGUCUUUCUUUUCCGAGAGGGAUCAUUGGACUGGAUGGAAGAGGCAGUGAGAGAGCAAACACAAAUGUUGGAAAGGGUGCUAAGUUAUCAACCAACACAAUUAACAGAUUGAAUAAUUAUUUUUUUGGUGCUUUUUUGUUUAUAUAUAUGUGCUAACUCAGUGCACCAGUACAAUGAGGCUUGUUUUGUUUUUUUGUAAAGUAUAAAUGACUGGGGGAUAUAUUGGGUUUUU